rnacentral:misc_RNA from 1 species
UCCGGUUUGUCACCGGCAGUCUCCUUAGAGUACCCACCAUUACGUGCUGGUAACUAAGGACAAGGGUUGCGCUCGUUACGGGACUUAACCCAACAUCUCACGACACGAGCUGACGACAGCCAUGCAGCACCUGUCUCACGGUUCCCGAAGGCACCAAUCUAUCUCUGGAAAGUUCCGUGGAUGUCAAGACCAGGUAAGGUUCUUCGCGUUGCAUCGAAUUAAACCACAUAUUUUACCGCUUGUGCGGGUCUCCGUCAAUUCCUUUGAGUUUUAACCUUGCGGCCGUACUCCCCAGGCGGCUCACUUCACGCGUUAGCUACGGUACCAAGGAAUCGCUUCCCCAACACCUAGUGAGCAUCGUUUAGGGCGUGGACUAC